AGAGCUAUAACACAACUGGCUAGUGUAUCGGACUUUGACUCCGAGUAUCCCUGUUCGAGUCAGGGUAGCUCUA
rnacentral:tRNA from 1 species